rnacentral:rRNA from 1 species
CGGCCCCCUGGACAAGACUGACGCUCAGGUGCGAAAGCGUGGGGAGCGAACAGGAUUAGAUACCUGGUAGUCACGCUGUAAACGAUGUCGAUUUGGAGGUUGUUCCCUUGAGGAGUGGCUUCCGGAGCUAACGCGUUAAAUCGACCGCUGGGGAGUACGGCCGCAAGGUUAAAACUCAAAUGAAUUGACGGGGGCCCGCACAAGCGGUGGAGCAUGUGGUUUAAUUCGAUGCAACGCGAAGAACCUUACCUACUCUUGACAUCCAGAGAAUUUAGCAGAGAUGCUUUAGUGCCUUCGGGAACUCUGAGACAGGUGCUGCAUGGCUGUCGUCAGCUCGUGUUGUGAAAUGUUGGGUUAAGUCCCGCAACGAGCGCAACCCUUAUCCUUUGUUGCCAGCACAUUAUGGUGGGAACUCAAAGGAGACUGCCGGUGAUAAACCGGAGGAAGGUGGGGAUGACGUCAAGUCAUCAUGGCCCUUACGGGUAGGGCUACACACGUGCUACAAUGGCGUAUACAAAGAGAAGCGACCUCGCGAGAGCAAGCGGAACUCAUAAAGUACGUCGUAGUCCGGAUUGGAGUCUGCAACUCGACUCCAUGAAGUCGGAAUCGCUAGUAAUCGUAGAUCAGAAUGCUACGGUGAAUACGUUCCCGGGCCUUGUACACACCGCCCGUCACACCAUGGGAGUGGGUUGCAAAAGAAGUAGGUAGCUUAACCUUCGGGGGGGCGUUUACCACGGUGUGAUUCAUGACUGGGGUGAAGUCGUAACAAGGUAACCA